rnacentral:rRNA from 1 species
GAUGAACGCUGGCGGCGUGCCUAAUACAUGCAAGUCGAGCGAACGGACGAGAAGCUUGCUUCUCUGAUGUUAGCGGCGGACGGGUGAGUAACACGUGGAUAACCUACCUAUAAGACUGGGAUAACUUCGGGAAACCGGAGCUAAUACCGGAUAAUAUUUUGAACCGCAUGGUUCAAAAGUGAAAGACGGUCUUGCUGUCACUUAUAGAUGGAUCCGCGCUGCAUUAGCUAGUUGGUAAGGUAACGGCUUACCAAGGCAACGAUGCAUAGCCGACCUGAGAGGGUGAUCGGGCACACUGGAACUGAGACACGGUCCAGACUCCUACGGGAGGCAGCAGUAGGGAAUCUUCCGCAAUGGGCGAAAGCCUGACGGAGCAACGCCGCGUGAGUGAUGAAGAUCUUCGGAUCGUAAAACUCUGUUAUUAGGGAAGAACAUAUGUGUAAGUAACUGUGCACAUCUUGACGGUACCUAAUCAGAAAGCCACGGCUAACUACGUG